AAUUUUAAUUUGACAACUACACCACAAACCACAUCACUUGACGCUGCAUCCACAACACAAAAUUCAACAAAUCAUUCAGUCACUGCACCUAAAGACACAAUAACUUCACCAAAGACACCUUCGAACCAAAAUGUUGUAGCUCUGAGGAUGAGGAUUUCAUCUACAUCUCCACUGUCUGAGGAUGACAUCAGAAAUACUAUCAUACAACAGAUUAAAGAUGAACUAGUGAAACGUGGGCUACCAUCAGACAUAUCUCUCCGCCUUGUGAGCAGUGAGGAGGUCUAAAAGUCAGAACCACAUCAACUGCUG